AUUGAACGCUGGCGGCAGGCCUAACACAUGCAAGUCGAACGAGUGGCGGACGGGUGAGUAAUGUCUGGGAAACUGCCCGAUGGAGGGGGAUAACUACUGGAAACGGUAGCUAAUACCGCAUACCAUUGGAUGUGCCCAGAUGGGAUUAGCUAGUGGGUGGGGUAACGGCUCACCUAGGCGACGAUCCCUAGCUGGUCUGAGAGGUAGACAAGCCACACUGGAACUGGGACACGGUCCCGACUCCUACGGAAGGCAGCAGUGGGGAAUAUUGGACAAGUGGCGCAAGCCUAAUGCAGCCAUGCCGCGUGUAUGAAGAAGGCCUUCGGGUUGUAAAGUGCUUUCAGCGAGGAGGCGUUACUCGCAUAGGAAGCAUCGGCUAACUCCGUGCCAGCAGCCGCGGUAAUUC
rnacentral:rRNA from 1 species